UACGUAGGGUGCGAGCGUUAAUCGGAAUUACUGGGCGUAAAGCGUGCGCAGGCGGUUUUGUAAGCCAGAUGUGAAAUCCCCGGGCUUAACCUGGGAAUGGCAUUUGGGACUGCAAGGCUCGAGUGCGGCAGAGGAGACUGGAAUUCCUGGUGUAGCAGUGAUAUGCGUAGAUAUCAGGAGGAACACCGAUGGCGAAGGCAGGUCCCUGGGCUGACACUGACGCUCAUGCACGAAAGCGUGGGGAGCAAACAGG
rnacentral:rRNA from 1 species